rnacentral:rRNA from 1 species
CCUACGGGAGGCAGCAGUGAGGAAUAUUGGUCAAUGGACGAGAGUCUGAACCAGCCAAGUAGCGUGAAGGCUGACUGCCCUAUGGGUUGUAAACUUCUUUUAUAUGGGAAUAAAAUGUUCCACGUGUGGGAUUUUGUAUGUACCAUAUGAAUAAGGAUCGGCUAACUCCGUGCCAGCAGCCGCGGUAAUACGUAGGAUCCGAGCGUUAUCCGGAUUUAUUGGGGUUAAAGGGAGCGUAGGUGGAUUGUUAAGUCAGUUGUGAAAGUUUGCGGCUCAACCGUAAAAUUGCAGUUGAAACUGGCAGUCUGGAGUACAGUAGAGGUGAGCGGAAUUCGUGGUGUAGCGGUGAAAUGCUUAGAUAUCACGAAGAACUCCGAUGGCGAAGGCAGCUCACUGGACUGCAACUGACACUGAGGCUCGAAAGUGUGGGUAUCAAACAGGAUUAGAUACCCCAGUAGUC